ensembl:snRNA predicted gene, 25664
GUGUUUGCUUCAGCAGCACAUAUACUAAAAAUGAAAUCUUUCAGGGAAGGUUAGCAUUGCUUGGAUAGAAGGAUGACAUGCAAAUUUUCGUAGUACCCCAUAUUAAU